UACGUAGGGUGCGAGCGUUAAUCGGAAUUACUGGGCGUAAAGCGUGCGCAGGCGGUUCUACAAGACAGAUGUGAAAUCCCCGGGCUCAACCUGGGAACUGCAUUUGUGACUGUAGGGCUAGAGUACGGCAGAGGGGGAUGGAAUUCCGCGUGUAGCAGUGAAAUGCGUAGAUAUGCGGAGGAACGCCGAUGGCGAAGGCAAUCCCCUGGGCCUGUACUGACGCUCAUGCACGAAAGCGUGGGGAGCAAACAGG
rnacentral:rRNA from 1 species